rnacentral:rRNA from 1 species
ACGUAGGGGGCAAGCGUUGUCCGGAAUUACUGGGCGUAAAGCGCACGCAGGCGGUUCGUUAAGUCGGAUGGGAAAGCUCCGGGCUCAACCCCGGGUUGCCUUGGAUACUGGCGGACUGGAGUGUCGGAGAGGGGAGUGGAAUUCCCGGUGUAGCGGUGAAAUGCGUAGAUCUCGGGAGGAACACCAGUGGCGAAGGCGGCUUCCUGGCCGACAUCUGACGCUCAUGUGCGAAAGCUGGGGGAGCAAACGG